rnacentral:rRNA from 1 species
AUGAUGGUUAAUUAUAUAUUUUAUAUUAUAAUAAUGCAGAUGAAUCGGCAAUGGAUGUACGGUAACCGACUCUCCGGCGAGUUCACUACGGGUUUGAAAGAUUUCCUCGUAGUGGCUAAUGCGAACAAGGAGGGGGGUUUUGUUAUCUGUCCAUGUGUUAUCUGUAAGAAUCAGAAGGGUUACUCUUCCUCAAGAGAUGUUCACAUGCAUCUGCUUCGGCACGGUUUCAUGCCAAGCUAUAAUUGUUGGACCAAGCAUGGAGAAAGAGGGGUUAUAAUGGAAGAAGAUGAAGAAGGGGAUGAUUUCAUCGAUGAAAGCUAUCUUGCUCAUUUCGUUGAUACUUUCAUGGAGGAUGCUGAAGGUGAAGGGGAAGGUGAAGAAGAGGCACGUGAUGAUCCCGUUGAUGAUCUUGGUCGGACCAUUGCUGAUGCACGGAGACGCUGCGAAACUGAAAAGGAGAGGGAGAAUUUGGAUCGCAUGUUAGAGGAUCACAGAAAGGAGCUGUACCCCGGAUGCGAUGAUGGUCUGAAAAAGCUGGGCUGCACACUGGAUUUGCUGAAAUGGAAGGCAGAGGCAGGUGUAGCUGACUCGGAAUUUGAAAACUUGCUGAUAAUGUUGAAGAAUAUGUUUCCAAAGGAUAACGAGUUGCCCGCCAGUACGUACGAAGCAAAGAAGGUUGUCUGCCCUCUAGGUUUAGAGGUUCUGAAGAUACAUGCAUGCAUCAACGACUGCAUCCUCUACCGCGGUGAAUACGAGAAUUUGAAUGAAUGCCCGGUAUGCACUGCAUUGCGUUAUAAGAUCAGAGGCGAUGACCCUGGUGACGAUGUUGAGGGCCAGAAACCCAGGAAGAGGGUUCCCGCCAAGGUGAUGUGGUAUGCUCCUAUAAUACCACGGUUGAAACGUCUGUUCAGGAACAAAGAGCAUGCCAAGUUGUUGCGAUGGCACAAAGAGGACCGUAAGUCGGACGGGGAGUUGAGACACACCGCAGAUGGAACGCAAUGGAGAAAGAUCGACAGAUGGUUCAAAGAU